UUCUAAUGCUUAGUUCACACUACAUGAUUUUAAGCCAGAUUUAAGCCCGAUUUGCAAAUCGUUCGCUCGCCGACAGGUCGGGGUGUGAUCGGGUGCAAAUCGCGGGGGAUUAGCGGGCGAUCGACGUUCGCCAAUCUGUUGGUAUGAAAGAGCCAACAACGCAUCAAAGACGCUCGCAGACGGCUCGCAGACGCGUCGCCGACACCAGAAAAAUAUCUAGCUUGUUAGAUAUCUGGAGCUGUCGCGCGACUCGACCUCCUAUGAUGUCACGAGCUACAGCCAAUCCGACGAGGGGUUGACGUCACACGGAAAGAUGAGCAGCAUGUCACCAAGAAAACAUUGAACUCAGGCAUAAAUGUCUGUAUGACGUUUCACAUAUAUUUACCACAACUGCGCUGAGAAAAAGAAACGGUGGAGAGAAAUAGCAAACGCUGUAAAACAGCCAGACUUUACUGUUGCACAAGUGGACUCACAAACAACUAGGGAUACAUUAACUUCAUUUGGGAACCAUGGCUUUGGAAUUGAGGAAUAUUGAAGACCCAGUUCUCUUAUCACAUCUCAAAAGAAGCAUAAUGGUGAUGAUAUUCAACACCCAGGAGACUGACAGAAGCGGAUCAAUGUUGUCACCUGAACAACCUACCCUAUGCAUAUAUCAUGCAUGACAUGUGCGGUCCGGUCCCGAUGUGUUUUUGUUUACAAACGAUUUACUUUACUAUCUAUUACAUUUAUCAAUAAGGUGAUUAAACUUGUUGAAGGGUUUAGAUUGAAUUUCCCAGUGCUGUUUCAUGAAAUAAAUGGUCUAUCGAAAGUAAUACAUUUAAUGCAACAAAGUAUAAAAGUAUAAAACACAUUGUCAUAUUUUACAAAAAACGCCAAUAUGAAUAGUGCUUUAUAGCCUUGCAUUGUUGUUUGUGCAACUUGAAAACAAUGUAGUACAUUUGAAUGUACAUUAUGUGGACAGACAAAAUAUACAUUGUUAGAACACGUGCAGUGCACCACAUUAACACAAUUAAACAUUACAAAAAUCCCUAUCUCGAGCCCUUUGAAGGGCUGGGUGAUAUAUAAAUAUCGUAAUAUAAUUGUGUGUGAUUGGCUGUUAGAUUAAUCCACAUUGAGUAAAAAUGCCCAGAGCUUAUCAUCACAAUCCCCAUAAAUUUUUAGCAUGAUCAGAUAUGUUGAUGUUUAGCGCCGUAGUAUAGAAACAUUGUUAAUGUUCUGUGAAUAAUGAGUGUGGAUCAAGAAAUAAAGUUAGUAUAAGGCACUUAACUGCAACAUGCAGAUUGCCUUUAUUUGUUACAUUCCUGCACCUUUUGAUUUGUAUGCAAUUAAAAUUAAUUGAAUAAUAACACAACAAUAAACAGAAUACUUAAAACAAUGAAAAAGUGAACCACAUUGUGUUCUUUACAAAUACAGGACUUUAGAACACACAAGAAAACGAAUGUCCUAAACUGACAAUAACUGGCUUUAAUCUGCUGUUUGCAGGGAUAACUCUACAUCAGUUCCUUUUAAAAUGUGUUGAACUUGCCAAUAAACACUACACGCUGGUGAGACAAAGUAGUCCCGCAUCAGAUUGCGUUGCACUUUUGCUGUUGCCAUACAAUUGCGAUGUGAGGUGGUGUUCAUCGGUUGAAAAGCACCCGUCCCACGAUUCUUCCAUUGCCCAUCAACCAUGUUUUGGUCAGCAGUCUGCUACAGCUGGAGUGGUAGCAAGUACCCCAAAGCAAUGUGGAAACUGCCACUUCCUUUCGAAGUCCACGGCUAUGCCACUCUCCUUCCGUUGAUGGUGUCUAAAACAAUAGGACACACCAAAUGUCACUGAUUAAAUUAUUAUAUAUUCAAGA